CCCCCACCCCCCGCAUUGUCAGGUGGAGUCUUUACUGCUGAGCCACCAGGGAAGCCCCAGCACGGGGCAGUAUCCAGUGGAUGUUUAGCAAAUGAAUGGAUGAGCUUACGUCACGCUUUGUAGUCCAUAGAACACGUUCACAAACAUCUUCUCCACAGAGUCUCAUGACACUUUUUUGAUCUCAGCAGACAGUGAAACAGCCUGGAGAGGCUGAGUGACCUGCCAUAUUCACAGGUAAUUAGUAGGUUUAGGAUUUCCUUCAAGAUCUUCUGACUCCUAGACAGAUCUUCUUUCCAGGGCACAGUGCCCAGGGUUUGAUCAGAGCCUGCGUUCAGUCCCCAGACUAGUCUGUGACCUCGGCAAUGUUUUAUGGCCAAGCAGAGCAUUACCGAGCGUUGGACUGCUAAGCCUUGCCAACGUUCCUCAAGAACAUACCAUGUUUACAAAGAGAAGAGUUUAAGUCCUAUGCUCAAGGGCAGAUACAGUGAUUCCAAGCAUUUUUCAUAGUUUUUCAAAAUAUACACUAGCAAGGAUGGCAACAUGAUAUACUGGAAAAGGCGUGAGCUUUGAGUCAACAAGAUCAAGGUUCCUGCCUCGAUAAAUCCACGUUUAGAAGCGAACCUUUGAAUACAAACAGUUCCAAACUAUCUUUCUUUCAGUAACUGAUAACAUCUUGUUUACUAAGCCGUUUGUUGGAAUAAGCAAUAACCUUAUUGAUUCUGAGAGAGGUACCUUUUAAACUAUUGGGACAGCUUACAUCUAUGACCUUCAAUUUCUGUAACUACUAAGUGGGGUUAAUAAAGCCACAAUAUACAGUUGUGAUUGAAUGUGUUCAAGUACAUGUACCUAAUGUAUAGAAGAUGCUUGAUGAACAUCAGUUCUCCUCAGUUUUAUCACCUUUCUAGUUCCCAGCGCAACAUUGGACCCACUCUGAUGCACGUUUGUCGCUGUGUAUUUUUAGAUUUUCUCUGAGGGCAGAGUUGUACGCUUCAGCACAGAGAGGAAACUCACAGGUUCAUCUUAGCAACUUCUAAGCCUUUCCGUGACUCCGCACAUGGUUCCUGCUGCCUGUGCGCUGGCCUACUAUCUCGCCACGGGAAAGCAGCAGCAGCAGGGGCGUCUGAGCCACAAUGCUGAAGAAAAGUGAGGCAGCCAGCCCCAGUUAAUUUCAGAUCUGCUGCUGCUGCUGCCAAGUCGCUUCAGUCGUGUCCAACCCUGUGCGACCCCACAGAUGGCAGCCCAUCAGGCUCCCCCGCCCCUGGGAUUCUCCAGGCAAGAACACUGGAGUGGGUUGCCAUUUCCUUCUCCAAUGCAUGAAAGUGAAAAAUGAAAGGGAAUUCACUCAUUCGUGCCGACUCUUCGCGACCCCAGGGACUGUAGCCCACCAGGCUCCUUCACCCAUGGGAUUUUCCAGACAGGAGUACUAGAGUGGAGUGCCAUUGCUUUCUCUGAAUUUCAGAUCUAUCUGUCUCCAAAUAAAGAUAUAUAUUCUCCAGAUGAAGCUAUAUCUGUUAUUAUGGAAACUCGGAGAGAAUCAUGGGUAACAUCGUCAUCAGUGAGAAGUGGUUUAUGGCUUCCAGGAAAGAAGCAAAAAAUCAUAUGGAAAGAGUUAAGUAGGGUAAAUGCUGUGAUAACUGAUGCUUGGCGUGACUUGGGGCCAAAUGGCCAUUAUGGCUGUCUCAUAGUUCUAUGGGUUAAUCAUGGGAGAAGAAUAAAAUAAGAUGUGAUUACUUCAAUGUCUGUCUCUUAAGCUAAAUUUAAGCGUAAUAACACCAACAACUGACAUUUACUGAACAUUUACUAUAUGCUGAAUAUCAUUAUAAGACCUUUAAACCUAUUAUCAUAUCGAAUAUUCACAACAAUCCUGUG
ensembl:lncRNA